rnacentral:rRNA from 1 species
CCUACGGGUGGCAGCAGUGAGGAAUAUUGGUCAAUGGACGAGAGUCUGAACCAGCCAAGUAGCGUGAAGGAUGACUGCCCUAUGGGUUGUAAACUUCUUUUAUAUGGGAAUAAAAUGUUCCACGUGUGGGUUUUUGUAUGUACUAUAUGAAUAAGGAUCGACUAACUCCUUGCCAGCAGCCGCGGUAAUACGGAGGAUCCGAGCGUUAGCCGGAUUUAUUGGGUUUAAAGGGAGCGUAGAUGGAUUGUUAAGUCAGUUGUGAAAGUUUGCGGCGCAACCGUAAAAUUGCAGUUGAUACUGGCAGUCUUGAGGACAGUAGAGGUGGGCGGAAUUCGUGGUGUAGCGGUGAAAUGCUUAGAUAUCACGAAGAACCCCGAUUGCGAAGGCAGCUCACUAAACUGCAACUGACACUGAGGCUCGAAAGUGUGGGUAUCAAACAGGAUUAGAGACCCGGGUAGUC